CUAGCUGUAAACGAUGUAGACUUGGCGUUGGUGGGGUAAAAUCCAUCAGUGCCGAAGCAAACGCGAUAAGUCUACCGCCUGGGGACUACGGCCGCAAGGUUAAAACUCAAAGGAAUUGACGGGACCCCGCACAAGCAGCGGAGCGUGUGGUUUAAUUCGAUGAUACACGAAGAACCUUACCUGGGUUUGACAUGCAAGUGGUAGGAAACUGAAAGGGGACCGACCCUUCGGGGAGCUUGCACAGGUGC
rnacentral:rRNA from 1 species